rnacentral:tRNA from 2 species
GCCGCCUUAGCUCAGUUGGCAGAGCAUCUGAUUUGUAACCAGAAGGUCGCCGGUUCAAUUCCGGCAGGCGGCUCCA